UACGGAGGGUGCGAGCGUUAAUCGGAAUUACUGGGCGUAAAGCGCGCGUAGGCGGCCAAGUAAGCCGGUUGUGAAAGCCCCGGGCUCAACCUGGGAAUGGCAUCCGGAACUGGUUGGCUAGAGUGCAGGAGAGGAAGGUAGAAUUCCCGGUGUAGCGGUGAAAUGCGUAGAGAUCGGGAGGAAUACCAGUGGCGAAGGCGGCCUUCUGGACUGACACUGACGCUGAGGUGCGAAAGCAUGGGUAGCAAACAGG
rnacentral:rRNA from 1 species